rnacentral:rRNA from 1 species
AUUGAACGCUGGCGGCAUGCCUUACACAUGCAAGUCGAACGGCAGCAUAGGAGCUUGCUCCUGAUGGCGAGUGGCGAACGGGUGAGUAAUAUAUCGGAACGUGCCCUAGAGUGGGGGAUAACUAGUCGAAAGACUAGCUAAUACCGCAUACGAUCUACGGAUGAAAGUGGGGGACCGCAAGACCGCAUGCCCCGUGAGCGGCCGAUAUCUGAUUAGCUAGUUGGUGGGGUAAAAGCCUACCAAGGCAACGAUCAGUAGCUGGUCUGAGAGGACGACCAGCCACACUGGGACUGAGACACGGCCCAGACUCCUACGGGAGGCAGCAGUGGGGAAUUUUGGACAAUGGGGGCAACCCUGAUCCAGCAAUGCCGCGUGAGUGAAGAAGGCCUUCGGGUUGUAAAGCUCUUUUGUCAGGGAAGAAACGGUAGUAGCGAAUAACUACUACUAAUGACGGUACCUGAAGAAUAAGCACCGGCUAACUACGUGCCAGCAGCCGCAGUAA